rnacentral:rRNA from 1 species
UACAGAGGUCUCAAGCGUUGUUCGGAUUCAUUGGGCGUAAAGGGUGCGUAGGCGGCGCGGUAAGUCGGGUGUGAAAUUUUGGAGCUUAACUCCGAAAUUGCAUUCGAUAUUGCCGUACUUGAGGACUGGAGAGGAGACUGGAAUUUACGGUGUAGCGGUGAAAUGCGUAGAUAUCGAAGGAAGACCAGUGGCGAAGGCAGGUCUCUGGAUAGUUCCUGACGCUGAGGCACGAAGGCCAGGGGAGCAAACGGG